rnacentral:rRNA from 1 species
AUUGAACGCUGGCGGCGGGCUUAACACAUGCAAGUCGAGCGAGCGGCGGACGGGUGAGUAAUGUCUGGGAAACUGCCUGAUGGAGGGGGAUAACUACUGGAAACGGUAGCUACUACCGCAUACCAUCAGAUGUGCCCAGUGGGGAUUAGCUAGUAGGUGGGGGAAUGGCUCACCUAGGCGACGAUCCCUAGCUGGUCUGAGAGGAUGACCAGCCACACUGGAACUGAGACACGGGCCAGACUCCUACGGGAGGCAGCAGUGGGGAAUAUUGGACAAUGGGCGCAAGCCUGAUGCAGCCAUGCCGCGUGAGUGAAGAAGGCUUUCGGGUGGUAAAGCUCUGUCGUCGAGGAGGCGGUACCCGCAGAAGAAGCACCGGCUAACUCCGUGCCAGCAGCCGCGGUAAUUC